CGGGGUUUAAAAGGGUAUUUUUUGACAUUCGACUGGAGAAUGCCCUUUCAAAUCCUGGG
rnacentral:pre_miRNA from 1 species